AGUCAAGUAAUUAAGUGCAUGUGGUGGAUGCCUUGGCAGUCAGAGGCGAUGAAAGACGUGAUAGCCUGCGAAAAGCUCCGGGGAGGCGGCAAAUAUCCUUUGAUCCGGAGAUGUCUGAAUGGGGGAACCCACCUACUUUAAGGUAGGUAUUGCAACAUGAAUACAUAGUGUUGCAAGGCGAACGAGGGGAAGUGAAACAUCUCAGUACCCUUAGGAAAAGAAAUCAAUUGAGAUUCCCUCAGUAGCGGCGAGCGAACGGGGAUCAGCCCAUUAAGUUAUGUGUGUUUUAGUGGAACGCUCUGGGAAGUGCGAACGUAGAGGGUGAUAUUCCCGUACACGAAAGGGCACACAUAAUGAUGACGAGUAGGGCGAGGCACGUGAAACCUUGUCUGAAUAUGGGGGGACCAUCCUCCAAGGCUAAAUACUCCUGACUGACCGAUAGUGAACCAGUACCGUGAGGGAAAGGCGAAAAGAACCCCUGUGAGGGGAGUGAAAUAGAUCCUGAAACCGCAUGCAUACAAGCAGUGGGAGCACCUUCGUGGUGUGACUGCGUACCUUUUGUAUAAUGGGUCAGCGACUUAUAUUCAGUAGCGAGGUUAACCGUAUAGGGGAGCCGUAGAGAAAUCGAGUCUUAAUAGGGCGUUUAGUUGCUGGGUAUAGACCCGAAACCAGGCGAUCUAUCCAUGAGCAGGUUGAAGGUUGGGUAACACUAACUGGAGGACCGAACCCACUGUCGUUGAAAAGCCAGGGGAUGACUUGUGGAUAGGGGUGAAAGGCUAAUCAAGCCUGGUGAUAGCUGGUUCUCCCCGAAAGCUAUUUAGGUAGCGCCUCGGACGAAUACCAUAGGGGGUAGAGCACUGUUUCGGCUAGGGGGUCAUCCCGACUUACCAAACCGAUGCAAACUCCGAAUACCUAUGAGUACUAUCCGGGAGACAGACUGCGGGUGCUAACGUCCGUAGUCAAGAGGAAAACAAUCCAGACCGCCAGCUAAGGCCCCAAAAUCAUAGUUAAGUGGGAAACGAUGUGGGAAGGCAUAGACAGCUAGGAGGUUGGCUUAGAAGCAGCCACCCUUUAAAGAAAGCGUAAUAGCUCACUAGUCGAGUCGGCCUGCGCGGAAGAUGUAACGGGGCUAAAACUAUGUGCCGAAGCUGCGGAUGUAUACUUUGUAUACGUGGUAGGGGAGCGUUCUGUAAGCCGAUGAAGGUGUGUUGAGAAGCAUGCUGGAGGUAUCAGAAGUGCGAAUGCUGACGUGAGUAACGACAAAACGGGUGAAAAACCCGUUCGCCGAAAGACCAAGGGUUCCAGUCCAACGUUAAUCGGGGCUGGGUGAGUCGACCCCUAAGGCGAGGCCGAAAGGCGUAGUCGAUGGGAAAAUGGUUAAUAUUCCAUUACUUCUGUGUAAUGCGAUGAGAGGACGGAGAAGGCUAAAUCAGCCUGGCGUUGGUUGUCCAGGUGAAAGGAUGUAGGCAUGUAUCUUAGGCAAAUCCGGGGUACUCUAUGCUGAGAUCUGAUAGCAAGCUGUACUUGUACAGCGAAGUGGUUGAUGCCAUGCUUCCAGGAAAAGUCUCUAAGCUUCAGUUACACAGGAAUCGUACCCGAAACCGACACAGGUGGUCAGGUCGAGUAGACCAAGGCGCUUGAGAGAACUCUGCUGAAGGAACUAGGCAAAAUGGUACCGUAACUUCGGGAGAAGGUACGCUGUUGUUGGUGAUGGAACUCGCUUCCUGAGCUGACGACAGCCGCAGAAACCAGGCCGCUGCAACUGUUUAUUAAAAACAUAGCACUCUGCAAACACGAAAGUGGACGUAUAGGGUGUGAUGCCUGCCCGGUGCUGGAAGGUUAAUUGAUGGGGUUAGCGUAAGCGAAGCUCUUGAUCGAAGCCCCAGUAAACGGCGGCCGUAACUAUAACGGUCCUAAGGUAGCGAAAUUCCUUGUCGGGUAAGUUCCGACCUGCACGAAUGGCAUAAUGAUGGCGGCGCUGUCUCCAGCAGAGGCUCAGUGAAAUCGAAAUCGCUGUGAAGAUGCAGUGUACCCGCGGCUAGACGGAAAGACCCCGUGAACCUUUACUGCAGCUUGACACUGAACUUUGACCUUACUUGUGUAGGAUAGGUGGGAGGCUUUGAAGCUGGAACGCUAGUUCCAGUGGAGCCGUCCUUGAAAUACCACCCUGGUAAUGUUGAGGUUCUAACUCUGUCCCGUGAUCCGGGACGAGGACCGUGUCUGGUGGGUAGUUUGACUGGGGCGGUCUCCUCCUAAAGAGUAACGGAGGAGUACGAAGGUGCGCUCAGCGUGGUCGGAAAUCACGCGUAGAGUAUAAAGGCAAAAGCGCGCUUAACUGCGAGACCCACAAGUCGAGCAGGUACGAAAGUAGGUCUUAGUGAUCCGGUGGUUCUGUAUGGAAGGGCCAUCGCUCAACGGAUAAAAGGUACUCUGGGGAUAACAGGCUGAUACCGCCCAAGAGUUCAUAUCGACGGCGGUGUUUGGCACCUCGAUGUCGGCUCAUCUCAUCCUGGGGCUGAAGCAGGUCCCAAGGGUAUGGCUGUUCGCCAUUUAAAGAGGUACGCGAGCUGGGUUUAGAACGUCGUGAGACAGUUCGGUCCCUAUCUACCGUGGGCGCUGGAAAUUUGAGAGGAUCUGCUCCUAGUA
rnacentral:rRNA from 1 species